rnacentral:rRNA from 1 species
UGCGUAGGGUGCGAGCGUUGUCCGGAAUUAUUGGGCGUAAAGGGCUCGUAGGCGGUCUGUCGCGUCGGGAGUGAAAACUCAGGGCUUAACCCUGAGCCUGCUUCCGAUACGGGCAGACUAGAGGUAUGCAGGGGAGAACGGAAUUCCUGGUGUAGCGGUGGAAUGCGCAGAUAUCAGGAGGAACACCGGUGGCGAAGGCGGUUCUCUGGGCAUUACCUGACGCUGAGGAGCGAAAGCAUGGGGAGCGAACAGG